rnacentral:rRNA from 1 species
UCUACCUAGUAGUAUAGGAUAGCCACUAGAAAUGGUGGGUAAUACUGUAUAAUCCCUGCGGGGGAAAGAUUUAUCGCUACAUGAUGAGCCUAUGUUAGAUUAGCUAGUUGGUGGGGUAAUGGCCUACCAAGGCAGUGAUCUAUAGCUGGUCUGAGAGGAUGAUCAGCCACACUGGAACUGAGACACGGUCCAGACUCCUACGGGAGGCAGCAGUGGGGAAUAUUGGACAAUGGGCGCAAGCCUGAUCCAGCUAUGCCGCGUGAGUGAGGAAGGCCUUAGGGUUGUAAAACUCUUUCAGUGGGGAAGAUAAUGACGGUACCCACAGAAGAAGUCCCGGCAAACUCCGUGCCAGCAGCCGCGGUAAUACGGAGGGGGCAAGCGUUGUUCGGAAUUAUUGGGCGUAAAGGGCAUGUAGGUGGUUUGGUAAGUUAAAGGUGAAAUGCCAGGGCUUAACCCUGGAGCUGCUUUUAAUACUGCCAGACUGGAGUCCCGGG